GACAGAGGGUGCAACCGUUGUUCGGAAUUACUGGGCGUAAAGCGUGUGUAGGCGGCUAUGUAAGUCGGAUGUGAAAGCCCCGGGCUCAACCCGGGAAGUGCACUCGAUACUGCGUAGCUUGAGUCUCGGAGAGGUUGGUGGAAUUCUCGGUGUAGAGGUGAAAUUCGUAGAUAUCGAGAGGAACACCGGUGGCGAAGGCGGCCAACUGGACGAAGACUGACGCUGAGACACGAAAGCGUGGGGAGCAAACAGG
rnacentral:rRNA from 1 species